AUGCUUUUGUAGUUCAUAAAUGUAAUAAUCGGCUUUUCAUGCUCAUGUGUGAGAUGUACCUUCCUCAAACUUUGUUACCAUGUUAGAACAUUACCUGUCUGAUG
rfam:Pan troglodytes isolate Yerkes chimp pedigree #C0471 (Clint) chromosome 12, whole genome shotgun sequence.